GUGAGGAUGCUGCCGUGGGCGAGGGCGCACCUCAACCCGACCGGGCAGGCGCUCAUCAUCUCCACCAUCGCCGGGAUGGCCUACUUCAUCGUCGCCGACAAGACCAUCCUAUCCAUGGCCAGGAAGCACUCCUUCGACGACGCGCCGGACCACCUCAAGAACACCUCCUUCAACUAAUUAGACUACAAUAGUAGAUCCAUUAGUAGUGCGCAGCGACGGCCUGAAAGAUAGUAUAAUGUUCAGCACCUAUCUGAUAUCAGGCCAAGUUCGCAGACAGUGAGUGGUGUAGUACUGCGCUUCUCUGCCGCUCUGCGUGCAAGCACUUGUCUGAUGAUGUAUCCAGCCAGUAAUCUUGAAUUAAUAAUAACCUGCAUCUGUACAACUCAGUUCACCUGCCAUCACCCAUCUUACAUUUUCUUGUUGGUGGUUAUCGUCUGAAAUGUGCCACUGGCAGAGCAAUACCCAACAUCGCGCAUGCGGGAUCCCCGGAGAGGGCUGCCAGAGGUUAGUAAUGAACAAGAUGACAUGGGAUGAAUCAAAAACUCCAUCAAUCAGAUUCAGUAUAAAAUAUUGAAAUUACUACUCCAUCAAUCAAAUUCAGUAAUGAACAGAAACUGUAAGCAGGAGGAAGUGGAGCAAAUGUCACCUGCGAUUUAUCCUUAUAUCAAACUGUGAAUUUUUAAUCUCAAACUCUGGUGGUCGCACAAGCCAAAAUAUGUAGCUCUCCUUAUGCGUUACCAUCAUGAGGAGAAUAAGAGAAACCACCAAUACCUGUCAGAGUUAGAGUAAAGUUAAUUCUUGGUUUGAUUGAUUUACUUUUCUAGAUGAGACAUAGUUAAUUCUUGUUUGGACGAGAGCUAGCUGCAAUGGAUUGUCGCUUAAUAUUAUCUCUAAAAGUUAACAUUUGUAUGCUGUUACAACUAUGGAAUGAUUAAAUUAAAGCUAUAUUCUGUAAUUGCAUAGUAUUCAUUCGUUCGGAAAUACUUGACGUUGAUUUAGUACAGGUUGUGCAAGAUUACCUAUGAAUUUUAAACUCCUAUUCCAAAAAUAGUAAAUCUACUUCGUCGAUGCUACUCCCUCUGUCCCGAAUUAAUUGUUCUAAAACGGAUAUAAAUGGAUGUAUAUGUAUCUAGAUACAUCCAUUUAUACGACAAAAAAUUCAAAACGAUGGGAGUAUUACUUAAGGAAAGCUACUCUCUCUCUCUCUCUCUCUCUUACAAAAUCAAGAAACUCUAUUGUCCCAAAAAUAUAUUUUCCAUAAAAAAACACUUGCUCUUCACAAUUACUCCCUCCGUCCCAUAAUAUAAGAACGUUUUUUAGAAUUUUCGUCAAAAAGAACCACCUGCCCAGUGAAAUUGUCAAAAAAGACCGCCUACGAGCGAAAAUGUCAAAAAGGACCACCUGCACCGUGGCGGCAGGUGCGCCAGCCGACACGUGGCACCUGCCGCCACGGGAUCUGGCGGCAGCACCUGCCGCAACUGGCUCGACCGGCAGCCUCAGCUGCACAGAAUUUCGGUCGAUGGCACACACAAGAACGGAACGGGCUGGCGAUGUGGCACCUGCCGCCACGCUCCCUGGCGGCAGCUUGUGCUGCUUUUCACGCCAAACGGCACGUCCGUUGGUUCUUAGUGUGGCAGACGCAUUGCUGGCCGUGGUGCCUCUGUCGUUUUGUUUUCUGUGCACCCAUCUCUCUCUCGUUGCCCUGUGCUAUGUGGAGUCAUCUGGAUUAAUCCUAAAUACAGGACUGACCGACUGAGGUGUUUAGUCUAACUCAAUCAACAGAAAAGGCAUCUGGCCAGUGCAUCUCGACUAGCAAAGCGUCUGCCACCUAUGGCCCAACAGAAAAGCAGCACAGGCUGCUGCCAGAGAGCGGGGCGGCAGGUGCCAUGUCGCCAGCCCGUUCCGUUUUCGCAUGCGUCGUCGGUCAAAAUUCUGUGCAGCUGAGGCUGCCGCCUAAGCCGGUGGCGGCAGGUGCUGCCGCCGGAUCCUGUGGCGGCAGGUGCCACGUGUCGGCUGGCGCACCUGCCGCCACGGUGUAGGUGGUCUUUUUUGACAUUUUUGUCCAUGGGUGGUCUUUUUUGACAUUUUCACUGGUCAAGGGGUCCUUUUUGUCAAAAAUUCCGUUUUUUACACUAGUGUAGUGUCAAAAACACUCUUAUAUUAUGGGACGGAGAGAGUACAUCUAAGUUACCUCAAGACGGCAUCACAAAAUACAAUAAACAAGAUGUUUCGCAUAUAGAUUUUUAAAAAUAAAUAAAUAAACCUACCAUACACGCAACUACACCCACGUGGAAAAACCAAAAACACAAAAAUGCUUUCUCCACCUCACAACUAGAGUGGAAGAAAACACCUUCUCUCUUGACAUAUGACCAUGCGACAAUCAUCACCCCACCUAUGAAUAUCAUCAUCAAAAUGUAUACUCGACACGGCAAAAAUAUAUAUAUGACCCACCGGGGUAGAUGGUAUGACAUUUUGGAACAAGUAUUAGCAAAACCUGUUUUAAGAGGAUUUUUAGGAAAACUAGUUCUAAAUUGUUGCUAUGUUAAAGCUGAUUUAUAGGAUACCUUGUUUGGACUUGAAAAGUUCAGAUAGUACUGAUGUAAAUCGAUUUUCGUCUCUGAGUUCCUUUCGUCCGUGAUCUCUCUUCCUCGACGAGCACACAUGCAUGCACGUGAACUCCAUGGUACUAAAAUGCGGCAAGCACGGUGAUGCUCUUGAGCACGCGUUAUCUCUUUUAUGGUGUGGCUGCAAUAGCAUUAGCAACACAUACAGCGAGGGCUCGCCAAAGGCGGAUGUGGCGACGGCGACCAUGGGCAAGGCCCGGCAGCGGUGGCCAUGGAGAGGGUUGACGACCAUGGCCGAGGGCCUGCAGUGCGGAGGGCAGAAGCGGCAACAGCGACUAUGGCCGAGGGCCGGCAGCGACGGAGAGCGGAAGAGGCAACAACGACUAUAAGUACUGCCCAAAUCGUCUAACACCACAGUCGGCUCUCACGGCGUCUCAGGCCGUCACGUACACACAAUAAAUAUCCCCUGAACCACCACAGCUAAUACUGCAUACGUCCCACAUCCCGAGCCAAACGAACGCACGACGAUACAGAGAGUGCGCGAGCUCGUCCACGCCAAGCAAUCUUCGUUAGCAAUAUAAGUUAAUUUAUUCGGAAGCAGCGAUUCGGUGCCCAACCUCUUCUACAGCCGCAAUGAAUAAAGAAUACAAAACAAAUAGUAGAAAAUUCAAAAAAUCUAUUUUUUUUUAUUUUUGCAUCGUGGAUAAUUUGGUAUUGUAAAUUUAGGCUCUGUAAAAAGUUUACCGUUUAUGUAUUUGUUCUGACCCAUUUUCCUUUUUUGCUGAUAGCUACUCAUAAGGCCAAAUAGUAUGAAAUUUGGGGAGCACCGCACACACCAAAUUAUGUACCAUGAUUUUUUUGGGGGAUUUUUAUGGUUUUUUCUUGACCGGGUGCACGUGAUUCUUGGCUCACAAAUCGAUAUUUGAAUUUAUCCCGGCUUUUCUCUCUUUUCCUUGGCGGGCUGGUGGCGAAGUGUCCACAGGGGUAAACCGAAUAGUACUAGCACUAGCAGUCUUUUUUUUUGAGAAAAGAAAACCACUAGCAGUCUCGCGGCGAAAAGUAGCGAACCUCUCGCGGAGUUUGCCGGGUUGGCGGAAAACUGGGAGCGCCAAAACGGAGGGCACACUGCACUCGCCCACAUGCUCUUCUUGGUGUAGUGUUAUCCUACGCACGCUCCCUGCCUCCUCUUAUCCAGUUGCAGUGGAGUGCAGUGCACGUGAGAUGGCUUUUAUACUGUGACCAACGAGCGGCGCCACCUGUGCUCUGCCCGCCCGCCGGUAUAGCCAGCUCGCCUGAACCACCGCCCAGAAGGCCAAAACCACGGUCUCGCUUGCCCUCCCACCGUAUCAAAUCGUCUUCUUGCGCGCACGCCGGUUGCCGGUUUCCUGCAACCUAUAUAAAUCCGGCCAGACCACAUUUCCUAUCCAUCUCACUCACACUGUCACACUGUCUCACUACUACUGCUGAUACUUCACUGCUACUACCAGUUCACUUCCUUGGGAUCUCGGCCAACAUGUCGACGGUGACCCGCGCCUACCUCGACCAGAGGCUCGCCGCCGCCAACCGCUGCUCCAGAGGUACUAACCAACGACGACUGGUUCCGGCCUCAGCCCAGCACUGCUCGUAUAUCCAAUUCAUUGCAGCUUAUGUGUCUGCUGAAACUGAUCUUGAUUAACAUUCCUAUGUUGAUCCGAAACUGCAGAGGCUGCCAUGGCCGGAGCCAAGGCCGCGGCAGUCGCCGCCGUCGCUGCCGCAGUCCCCACCGUAAGUACACGUUUCUCGGCUGGCGCCGCUAUCUUGCAAGCAUCCCCAAGAUACAACAAUCAUGCAUCUCACUGUCUUCUUCCCCCGUGCCUUUCUCUGCAGCUAGCGAGCGUGAGGAUGCUGCCGUGGGCGAGGGCGCACCUCAACCCGACCGGGCAGGCGCUCAUCAUCUCCACCGUCGCCGGGAUGGCCUACUUCAUCGUCGCCGACAAGACCAUCCUCUCCAUGGCCAGAAAGCACUCCUUCGAGGACGCGCCGGACCACCUCAAGAACACCUCCUUCAACUAAUUAGGCUAUAAUCUGCACGCCGGCCUGGAAGUAUUAUAAUGUUCAGCACUUAUUCGAGAUCAGGCGAGCCUUGCAGACAGUCAGUGGUGUAGUAUUGCGCUUCGCUGCGUGCAACUUAUCUGAUGAAGUAAUCAUCAUGUAUCCAGCCAGUAAUCUUGAAUUAAUAAUGACUUGUAUUUGUACAACUCAGGUUUACCCACCAUCAUCCCAUCUUACAUUUCCUUGUUUUUGGUUAUCUUUUGACAUGUGGCGAGUGGCAGAUCCUGCACAAGACCGAAAUAACACCGCAUUCUUCGACCCCCUAUACCCACUUGUUUAAUCUUUUGAUAAGUUUUAAUAGAUGGCGUGGCAAAUAUGGAACGUAUUUAUAAAGAAAAAAGGAAAAUAAUCCUCAGAGCACAUGUGCAUUUUUUUGCGGGUAGAGCACAUGUGCAUUUCAACAAAGGACAGAACGACAAUCCCUCUUGUGCCUGAAGCAGAGGUCAUGUACCUCCACUCCCACCCCCACACCUUAGAAUAAGGGUUUGCGCAUAAGACAAAAAAUGUUUGAGGGAAUAUUGGUUCGGGUUGAAAAUAGUCCUAAUAAAGCAGUCGUGCGCCAACGACCCUAUCCUAGUUUAGAACUCUCUUCACUUUGACCAAAUCUUUGAAGUUCAGAAUGUGCUCCAGUUCCAUCUCCAAUUCCUCCUGGAUGUUGAUCAUCAUCAUCAACUUGGCAUCUUCGUCGUCCGAUUUCGAUGAGUCGAUGAACUCUUUUUGAAUGAAUUCAUCAAGCUCCUAUUCUUUAUACUCCUCAUCCGACGAACCAAUCGUUUUGCUAAAAAAACACUGCUCGAACAUUAUUGAACACAUGGAGGGCAAGAUGUAUGACGAGAGGAGCAAGACAUACUGCGGUGACGAGAAUGGCGGGGAGGAGUUUUGUGGCAGUGAUGCUGGCGCCUUGGGGUCAGGACAAAGGUGAAGCUAGGGAACAGUCGUAGCGGACGAAGGAGAAAAGAGGAGAGGAAAAGGGCAGGUCCGGCUAGGUCAAGGUGAUUUCAUGAAAUUUAUGGUGGGUCAUGUCUGUCGGAUCCAACAUAGUGGGCACGUCCGAGUCUUCCCAUACCCUUUCUAGAUAUGGGCUAGAUAUGAGGGAUGCCGGUCGGCCGGGACGCAUAGGACCGAUUUGAGGGAGCCGACUGGUUUGCUAUUUCUUGUGAAGUCAAUGACUGAAUGGCCCGCCCAGACACACAAUGCCAACAUAAAGUGUCCGGUCGUAGAUGCUCUAACAUUCAACGCUAAGGUCUUGCAUUUGCUGAGGUGCGCAAAGACGACCACUGCGAUGCUAGCGAAUUCCCAACUAAAAUGAGUAUAGCACAAAUAAAUUUAAUUUGAAAAUUUCGAAGGUGUCCAGUUGGUAUUGUCGGUAAAUGUGUUUCCUCCCACUCUUGGUAUUUUUUGGGUAUUGCCAAAAACUUGGUGAGGGUCGAGAUUCGCAACAACGGGAGAUGUACGGUAGUUGUGCAAGCGUUGACCGGGCUAGAUAGUGAAAACCUUUACUUUAUUUCAACAGGUGAUCAACUUUAUACUCCCUCCGUUUCAUUUUAGUCUGCAUAUUAGUUUUGUUUAAAGUCAAACUCUUCGAAGUUUGAUAAAGUUUACAUAAAAUAUUAUUGAUAUUCACAAUACAAAUACAAUAUCAUUAGAUACAUUGUGGAGUAUAUUUUCAUAUGAUAUUUUUUUGAUAUUGUAGAUCUUUAUAAUUUUUGAUAUAAGUAUGGUAAACUUGACUUUGAAGAAAUCUAAUACUCCCUCCGUCACGGUUUAGAAGGCACAGUUAAAUUUGCAUGCGUUUUCACAAUAGACAAGGUUUAGGGCGCAUUGCAUUUAUUUUAGUAGCUAAUUAGUACUCCGUAUACUAUUUCUAUAUGCAUGCGUAGUGUGAAUGCUAUUUUUUAGCCUAUCUCACAACCAAUAGAUAACCACCUAGGUCCCAGAGAAUUUCUAAGCGUACCUUCUAAACCGUGACGGAGGAAGUACGCGAAGUAAAAAGAACCUCUAUCUCAAAAAAACAACAACCACUAUCUCAAAAAAAAAGUAAAAAAAACCUGAGGGAGUAUUUCCCGGCAACAAAAAAGAAACAAUGAAUUUGCAGCGGACCGCUCGCGGAAUUGGAUUGCGGCCGGGUUGGCGGAAAACUGGGAGCGCCCAGACAGAUAGCCAACAGAACAGAGGGCACACUCACUCACACGCUCCUUCUCCUAUGAGGCUAUGAUGCAGCACCUACGCACGCACGAACAGGAACACGCUCCCUGCCAACCCCGAUCGAUCCUGUCCAUGGCCAUUUNNNNNNNNNNNNNNNNNNNNNNNNNNNNNNNNNNNNNNNNNNNNNNNNNNNNNNNNNNNNNNNNNNNNNNNNNNNNNNNNNNNNNNNNNNNNNNNNNNNNNNNNNNNNNNNNNNNNNNNNNNNNNNNNNNNNNNNNNNNNNNNNNNNNNNNNNNNNNNNNNNNNNNNNNNNNNNNNNNNNNNNNNNNNNNNNNNNNNNNNNNNNNNNNNNNNNNNNNNNNNNNNNNNNNNNNNNNNNNNNNNNNNNNNNNNNNNNNNNNNNNNNNNNNNNNNNNNNNNNNNNNNNNNNNNNNNNNNNNNNNNNNNNNNNNNNNNNNNNNNNNNNNNNNNNNNNNNNNNAAUUUCGUUACCUGUAUACUAGUUGCAGUGCAGUGGUCAUCAAAAACUAUCAGCGGCGUGUCACGUGGGAUGAUUUUUAUAUGCGAACCAUCUGUCCUCUGCCGCGUCGAUCGUGUGAAACCCACGGUCUCGCUUCCCACCUUAUCAGCCUUCCUCUCCGCGCGCACGCCGGUUUCGCGGUUUCUCGCAGCCUAGCUAUAAAUCUGGGCGGAGCACCAGCUCUGCCCCAUCCAACCUCACUUCACUACUACUCGCACAGUCGUACUACGCGUGCUAGUUCACUUCCUUCGGAUCAUCUUGCCAGUUGCCACUAAGCUCUGCCCCCGAGAAGAUGUCUACGGUGACCCGCGCCUACCUCGACCAGAGGCUCGCCGCCGUCGCCAAGCGCUGCUCCAGAGGUACUAACCAAAACGACAUGCUGGCCUGUCGGUUCACCAUGCCGGCAAUGCUCUUGCCGCUCUGUUCUACUAGUACAUUGUAGCCAUUAACAUCCUGCACGACGACCCACUCACCCUGCUGAAACUUGGUCGUCAUUAACAUCCCGGUGUUGAUUCGAAACUGCGGAGGCCACCAUGGCGGGAGCCCAGGCCGCGACCAUCGCCACCGUCGCUGCCGCAGUCCCCACCGUGAGUACUUCAUCAGAAGCAACCACUCACCCUGCACGGCAAAUACAUUUCCUGAGAAUACGGUCUGAUGUGGUCCGUGCGAUUUCUCUGCAGCUGGCGAGCGUGAGUAUGUUGCCGUGGGCGAGGGCGCACCUGAACCCCACCGGCCAGGCGCUUAUCAUCUCCACGGUCGCUGGGAUGGCCUACUUCAUCGUCGCCGACAAGACCAUGCUGUCCAUGGCCAGAAAGCACUCCUUCGAGGAUGCGCCAGAGCACCUCAAGAACACCUCCUUCCAGUAGUCAGACUAUAAUAGAUCCAUUAGUAGUGCGUAAUAAGCUGUAUACGCCAGCCCGUACGUGUCUGCUGAAAGAUGGUGUAUAACGUUCAGCACUUAUGCGAGAUCAGGCGAGGCUUGCAGACAGUGAGUGGUGUGGUGUAUUGGUCUUCUCUGCGUGCAAUUAGCACUUAUCUGAUCAAGUAAUCAUCAUGUAUCCAGCCAGCAGUAAUCUUGAAUUAAUAACAACUUGC
rnacentral:lncRNA from 1 species